rnacentral:rRNA from 1 species
UACGUAGGGGGCAAGCGUUGUCCGGAUUUAUUGGGCGUAAAGCGCGUGUAGGCGGCCACGCAGGUCCGCUGUGAAAACUCGAGGCUCAACCUCGAGCUGUCGGUGGAAACCGCGUGGCUAGAGUCCGGAAGAGGGGACUGGAAUUCCCGGUGUAGCGGUGGAAUGCGCAGAUAUCGGGAGGAACACCAAUGGCGAAGGCAGCUUGCUGGGACGGUACUGACGCUGAGGCGCGAAAGCGUGGGGAGCAAACAGG